rnacentral:tRNA from 1 species
GGAGCCAUGGCUCAGGGGUAGAGAAUCUGCUUGGCAUACAGAAGGUCCCAGGUUCAAUCCCUGACACCUUCA